rnacentral:RNase_P_RNA from 1 species
CGAGUCAGCCAGACAAUCGCCCCAUUCGGGGAGGAAAGUCCGGGCUCCACAGGGCAAGACGCCAGGUAACACCUGGGCGGCGUGAGCCGACGGAAAGUGCCACAGAAAAUAUACCGCCUGCCUCCGGGCAGGUAAGGGUGAAAUGGUGCGGUAAGAGCGCACCGCACGGCUGGUAACAGCCAUGGCAGGGUAAACCCCGUCCGGAGCAAGGCCAAAUAGGGGAACGACAGGUGUGGCCCGCACUGUUCCCGGGUAGGCCGCUUGAGGUACACGGUGACGUGUGUCCCAGAUGAAUGAUUGUCCACGACAGAACCCGGCUUACAGGCUGACUCAUCCU